AUGCCAUGUGGGUACACUGGGUGCUGUGUGAGUGCAGUGGGUGCCGUGUGGGUGCCAUGGGGUGCUGUGUGGGUGCACUGGGAUGCUGUAUGGGUGCAGUGGGGUGCCGUGUGGGUGCACUGGGGUGCCGUGUGGGUGCCGUGUGGGUGCAGUGGGGUGCCACGCUGUGGGGCUGCGUGCUCCUCCCGGGACACGGGCCCCCUCCCCGCCUCGCCGCGGGGGGAGUUUCGCAGGAGGCCGAUGCCCGGGGGCUCGGCUGCGAUUAACCCCCGAAUCACCCGCCCCGAGCCGCGGAGCCGGCAGGGGGGUCGCCACGGGCCCCACGUCCCCACGCACCGCUCGGCGCGGCCGGGCUCAGGGACACCUCGCAGGGGACUAACGCCGCGCUGGGCACAGCGUGGCCUCCUGCACCCCACGGGGACGUGCUGGCCUCCUGCAUCCCCCCCAUGGGGACAUGGUGUCUCCUGCACCGCCCUGGGGACAUGCUGGUGUCCUGCAUCACCCCAUGGGGACGUGCUGUCCUGCUGUAUCACCCCAUGGGGACAUGGUGUCUCCUGUAUCACCCUGGGGACGUGUUGGCCUCCUGCACCACCCUGGGGACGUGCUGGCCUCCUGCACCACCCUGGGGAUGUUCUGGCCUCCUGCACCGCCCUGGGGACGUGUUGGCCUCCUGCACCACCCUGGGGACGUGCUGACCUCCUGCACCACCCUGGGGAUGUUCUGGCCUCCUGCACCACCCUGGGGAUGUUCUGGCCUCCUGCACCACCCUGGGGAUGUUCUGGCCUCCUGCACCAUCCUGGGGACGUGCUGGCCUCCUGCACCACCCUGGGGACGUGCUGGCCUCCUGCACCACCCUGGGGAUGUUCUGGCCUCCUGCACCACCCUGGGGACGUGCUGGCCUCCUGCACCACCCUGGGGAUGUUCUGGCCUCCUGCACCACCCUGGGGACGUGCUGGCCUCCUGCACCACCCUGGGGAUGUUCUGGCCUCCUGUAUCACCCUGGGGCUGCUCCAGGCCCCGCUGGGGUGUGCUGGCAGCUGCCGCCGGGUGAGGGGGGUGGUGGGUUACCCUGGGGUGGGGGGAGCAGGGGGUGCACCAGCACCGGGCGGCCUCGCCGUGGGGCUGAGCGCGCUGCUCUUCCCUCGCCCCCGUCGCUGUCUCCCCGCCGCACGGCGAUUUCGGGGAGCGUCCCCCACACCGGCCCCCACGCCCGCCGGCCGGCCGGGAGCGCCCGCACGUGUCCCGCUCCCAAGCCGCGGUGCAUUCACGGUUCGGGGAGCGCGUCCAGGCUAAGGGAAGCUGACAGGCAAACCUUUCCUGCGACAAACGGGAAUAUAGUAUCAGGCAAGGCUGACCGGAGCGUGAACCGCCGCCAAACACGGAGCAAAUUAUCGUCAACGAGAAUAGCGCGCGCUGCAGCCCGCUUACGUGCGAGGUCCCGAAUGCAGCCGGCCUGUCGGGCCGCAUCAGGGCACGGAUGCAUAAGGAAUGGGCGCCCGGCCCCGCGCAGCCGCGGCGCCCGCUGCCCGCUGCCGGCCGACCCGACCCUGCCCUGCCGAGCGCGCACACGGGCACGGGGCAAGGGGUGAAGCCUGGCCGGGGGGAUGCAAUGCAUGGGGAUGGGGGGAUGAACCCCAUCCAUGGGGAUGCACAGGAAUGGGGGGGGUGAUCCCCAUCUGCAGGGAUGCACAGGAAUGGGGGUGAACCCCAUCCAUGGGGAAGCAUGGGAAUGGGGGGGGUGAUCCCUAUGUUUGGGGAUGCACAGGAAUGGGGGGGGAACCCCGUCCAUGGGGAUGCACAGGGAUGGGGGGAUGAACCCCCUCCAUGGGGAUGCAUGGGAAUGGGGGGGUGAUCCCCAUCUGCGGGGAUGCACAGGAAAUGGGGAGGGGAACCUCAUCCAUGGAGAUGCACGGGCUGAACUGGAAAAAGGGGGGAAAAACAAAMAAAAAAAAAAAAGGGAAGAAAGCCAGGAGAGGCGCCGGCCCAGGCUGGCGGAAAACACGGGGCCGCGGGGGGAAACGCGCUGCUCUGCCGCGGCGCCCACGGGGGGGCCCAGCCGGACCCGGGACACGGGACCCCCCCGCUGCCCCCCGGCGCCGUUUCAGGCCCCCAGGUUCGGCUCGCGCCGCUUGAGCCGGUGUCGGAGCGACCCCCCCCGCGCCGCCCCCCAGCUUUCCCGGGCGCUUCCAGCACCGCUUUAGUCCCCGGGUCGUUUCGGCCGGAUCCGCUGCGAAAAGCUUCCCGUUUUCCCGCAGGACUCGGACGCCGACGCCGCGGCGCUGAGAACCACGCG
ensembl:lncRNA